rnacentral:rRNA from 1 species
UGGGGAAUAUUGGACAAUGGGCGAAAGCCUGAUCCAGCCAUGCCGCGUGUGUGAAGAAGGUCUUCGGAUUGUAAAGCACUUUAAGUUGGGAGGAAGGGCAGUAAGUUAAUACCUUGCUGUUUUGACGUUACCGACAGAAUAAGCACCGGCUAACUCUGUGCCAGCAGCCGCGGUAAUACAGAGGGUGCGAGCGUUAAUCGGAAUUACUGGGCGUAAAGCGCGCGUAGGUGGUUUGUUAAGUUGGAUGUGAAAGCCCCGGGCUCAACCUGGGAACUGCAUCCAAAACUGGCAAGCUAGAGUACGGUAGAGGGUGGUGGAAUUUCCUGUGUAGCGGUGAAAUGCGUAGAUAUAGGAAGGAACACCAGUGGCGAAGGCGACCACCUGGACUGAUACUGACACUGAGGUGCGAAAGCGUGGGGAGCAAACA